rnacentral:rRNA from 1 species
AGCAGCCGCGGUAAUUCCAGCUCCAAUAGCGUAUAUUAAAGUUGUUGCAGUUAAAAAGCUCGUAGUUGAAUUUCGAGAUCAAAUUGUUGGUCGUGCCUCGGUACGUACUGGCAUUAUUGAUUUCUCCCUUCUGAAGAACCACGAUGUCAUUAAUUUGGUGUCGUGGGGAAUCAGGACUGUUACUUUGAAAAAAUUAGAGUGUUUAAAGCAGGCUCACGCUUGAAUACAUUAGCAUGGAAUAAUGAAAUAGGACGUUUGAUUCUAUUUUGUUGGUUUCUAGGAUCGACGUAAUGAUUAAUAGGGAUAGUUGGGGGCAUUAGUAUUCAAUUGUCAGAGGUGAAAUUCUUGGAUUUAUUGAAGACUAACUACUGCGAAAGCAUUUGCCAAGGAUGUUUUCAUUAAUCAAGAACGAAAGUUAGGGGAUCGAAGACGAUCAGAUACCGUCGUAGUCUUAACCAUAAACUAUAGCCGACUAGGGAUCGGAUGAUGUUAAUUUUUAAUGACUCAUUCGGCGCCG